AUUGCUUCUCGGGCUUUUGGCUAAGAUCAAAUGCAGUAUGUGUUCCGAUCAGUUAAAAUAUCCGGUAUGUCCUGUAUCCGAGGACAGUAUAUUAAGUGGAUUUGGGGAGCAGGGAGAUGGAAGAGGAGCUUUCUCCAACCACUCUGCACAUAGAGCUAGCAUCAUAGUAUCUCCAGGAAUGGUGCACCCAAC